CAUCGUUUUUUGUUAAAAUAUAUAAAAUAUAACCUGCCCAAUGAAUAUUUAAAUGGCCGCGGUAUUAUGACCGUGCAAAGGUAGCAUAAUCAUUAGUUUCUUAAUUAGAAGCUUGUAUGAAUGGUUGGACGAGAAAGUUUCUGUCUCUUUAUAAUUAUAUAGAAUUUUAUUUUUAAGUUAAAAAGCUUAAAUUUUUUUAAAAGACGAGAAGACCCUAUAGAGUUUAAUUUAAUUUUAUUUAGUUAUUUAUUGGUAUUAAUUAAUAAUUAAUAUAUAUUAAAUUUGGUUGGGGUGAUUUAAAGAUUAAUAGAACUCUUUAUUUAUUUAAUUAUUAAUUUAUAUAUUAUUGAUCCAUUUUUGUUGAUUAAAAGAUUAAAUUACCUUAGGGAUAACAGCGUAAUUUUUAUGGAGAGUUCUUAUCAAUAUAAAAGUUUGCGACCUCGAUGUUGGAUUAAAAUUUAUUUAAGGUGUAGAAGCUUUAAUAUUAAGUCUGUUCGACUUUUAAAAUUUUACAUGAUCUGAGU
rnacentral:rRNA from 1 species